rnacentral:rRNA from 1 species
CUGAGUACGGCGGAACACGUGAAAUUCCGUCGGAAUCCGGGAGGACCAUCUCCCAAGGCUAAAUACUCCCUAGUGACCGAUAGUGAACCAGUACCGUGAGGGAAAGGUGAAAAGCACCCCGGAAGGGGAGUGAAACAGUUCCUGAAACCGUGUGCCUACAAGUAGUUAGAGCCCGUUAAUGGGUGAUAGCGUGCCUUUUGUAGAAUGAACCGGCGAGUUACGAUUUGUUGCAAGGUUAAGCGGAAAAAGCGGAGCCGUAGCGAAAGCGAGUCUGAAUAGGGCGCAUAAGUAACAGGUCGUAGACCCGAAACCAGGUGAUCUACCCAUGUCCAGGAUGAAGGUAAGGUAAUACUUACUGGAGGUCCGAACCCACGCACGUUGAAAAGUGCGGGGAUGAGGUGUGGGUAGCGGAGAAAUUCCAAUCGAACUUGGAGAUAGCUGGUUCUCUCCGAAAUAGCUUUAGGGCUAGCCUCGAGGUAAAGAGUCAUGGAGGUAGAGCACUGUUUGGACUAGGGGCCCUUCUCGGGUUACCGAAUUCAGAUAAACUCCGAAUGCCAUGUACUUAUACUCGGGAGUCAGACUGCGAGUGAUAAGAUCCGUAGUCGAAAGGGAAACAGCCCAGACCACCAGUUAAGGUCCCCAAAUAUAUGUUAAGUGGAAAAGGAUGUGGGGUUGCUUAGACAACCAGGAUGUUGGCUUAGAAGCAGCCACCAUUGAAAGAGUGCGUAAUAGCUCACUGGUCGAGUGACCCCGCGCCGAAAAUGUACCGGGGCUAAACAUAUUACCGAAACUGUGGAUGAACCUCUUUAGAGGUUCGUGGUAGGAGAGCGUUCUAAGGGCGGUGAAGUCAGACCGGAAGGACUGGUGGAGCGCUUAGAAGUGAGAAUGCCGGUAUGAGUAGCGAAAGAAGGGUGAGAAUCCCUUCCACCGAAUAUCUAAGGUUUCCUGAGGAAGGCUCGUCCGCUCAGGGUUAGUCGGGACCUAAGCCGAGGCCGAUAGGCGUAGGCGAUGGACAACAGGUAGAGAUUCCUGUACCAGUGCUAAUUGUUUAACCGAUGGGGUGACACAGAAGGAUAGGGAAUCGCACGAAUGGAAAUGUGCGUCCAAGCAGUGAGUGUGAGAAGUAGGCAAAUCCGCUUCUCGCGAAGCAUGAGCUGUGAUGGGGAAGGAAAUUAAGUACGGAAGUUCCUGAUUUCACGCUGUCAAGAAAAGCCUCUAGGAAGAGUAGUACUGCCCGUACCGCAAACCGACACAGGUAGAUGAGGAGAGAAUCCUAAGGUGAGCGAGAGAACUCUCGUUAAGGAACUCGGCAAAAUGACCCCGUAACUUCGGGAGAAGGGGUGCUCUAUUAGGGUGCAAGCCCGAGAGAGCCGCAGUGAAUAGGCCCAGGCGACUGUUUAGCAAAAACACAGGUCUCUGCAAAACCGUAAGGUGACGUAUAGGGGCUGACGCCUGCCCGGUGCUGGAAGGUUAAGAGGAGUGCUUAGCUUCGGCGAAGGUACGAAUUGAAGCCCCAGUAAACGGCGGCCGUAACUAUAACGGUCCUAAGGUAGCGAAAUUCCUUGUCGGGUAAGUUCCGACCCGCACGAAAGGCGCAACGAUCUGGGCACUGUCUCAACGAGAGACUCGGUGAAAUUAUAGUACCUGUGAAGAUGCAGGUUACCCGCGACAGGACGGAAAGACCCCGUGGAGCUUUACUGCAACCUGAUAUGGAAUGUUUGUACCGCUUGUACAGGAUAGGUAGGAGCCGAAGAGACGUGUGCGCUAGCAUACGAGGAGGCAAUGGUGGGAUACUACCCUGGCUGUAUGACCAUUCUAACCCGCCACGCUUAGCGCGUGGGGAGACAGUGUCAGGUGGGCAGUUUGACUGGGGCGGUCGCCUCCUAAAGAGUAACGGAGGCGCCCAAAGGUUCCCUCAGAAUGGAUGGAAAUCAUUCG